UACGUAGGCAGCGAGCGUUGUUCGGAGUUACUGGGCGUAAAGGGUGUGUAGGCGGUUGUUUAAGUUUGGUGUGAAAUCUCCCGGCUCAACUGGGAGGGUGCGCCGAAUACUGAAUGACUAGAGUGCGGGAGAGGUGAGUGGAAUUCCCGGUAUAGCAGUGAAAUGCGUAGAGAUCGGGAGGAACACCAGUGGCGAAGGCGACUACCUGGACCAGCACUGACACUGAGGCACGAAAGCGUGGGGAGCAAACAGG
rnacentral:rRNA from 1 species